rnacentral:rRNA from 1 species
CUUACCUACGGGAGGCAGCAGUGGGGGAUAUUGCACAAUGGGGGAAACCCUGAUGCAGCGACGCCGCGUGAGUGAAGAAGUAUUUCGGUAUGUAAAGCUCUAUCAGCAGGGAAGAAGAUGACAGUACCUGACUAAGAAGCCCCGGCUAACUACGUGCCAGCAGCCGCGGUAAUACGUAGGGGGCAAGCGUUAUCCGGAUUUACUGGGUGUAAAGGGAGCGUAGGUGGCAUGGCAAGCCAGAAGUGAAAACCCGGGGCUUAACCCCGUGGAUUGCUUUUGGAACUGUCAGGCUGGAGUGCAGGAGG